GCCAGUGUGGUGCAGGGGUUUGAGUGCUGGAUGACAACUGUGGAGAUCAGGGUUCAAAUCCCUGCUCAGCCA